GGUACCUCCUACUCUUAUGCACGGCAUGUUUUGGGAGCAAACUGACGUCAAUUCCGAUGGAGUCUAUAAUGCGAUGAACGUAACAUCAACUAAUGAUACCCAGUUUCCAACAGCAAAAUGGGUUCCAUGGAACAGCACCGAGGUGUUACUUUUUGCAUCCAGCGACUAUAUCUGUGGUUUGUUUCGCGUCGAUCUGUUCACCAAUGAUUCAACAUUUUACGAUGUCCGAGUGUGGAACGACCAGAACAUGACCAGUACAAUGCAGAUCUGCUUGGAAUACUUAAAAACAAAUUUAAGUCAAACAAAUAUUACGAACUGUACGCUUUUCGGAUAACACAUUGGCAACAGCGUUUUGUACAACGCGUACAACUCGUAAUAAAGUGAAUUACU